UAAGGCCUGUUUGGGAAUGUGCCCUUUGGAUGGCACACAUGGAGGGGACACAGUCUUUAGAAUGGUGGUGAUCUGUUUUAGAGUCCAGAACCAAGUUACACAGUUAUUUCUCAUCCAUUUUUCUAUUGAACAUUCUCAUUGCAAGGGGUCUGGAGGAUACAUGACAAACACAGACGUGUCCCACCUUCACCGAAUUUCAAGUCCACUCUAGCAAAUCAAGGUGAUUUCUCCACGCUGGAGCUAUGAGAGGAAGUAGCAUUCAGAGGUGCGAGGGAAUUAUAGAGAAGCUGGGAGACAGCCUUGAAGUUGGACCAUCAAAGGAGAUUUUGGCUCAGCCCUGCCUCAUUCUAAUAGAUCCUUCAGAUCCGAGUCUAGGAGGAGCAUGGACUCGAUGCUUUUGUUCUUUUUCCAAUGACUUACACCUCGAGGGCCCAUAUCAAAGCCCCUUACCCAUGUCAUGGAGUCUCUUGGAGGAAGGAUUAUUGUGUUGGUCAGAGGAGAUAAAAAGAAAAGAUUUUUUUCAUGAAGAAAAGAAGAGCAGGAAUAUACUGGUGCACUUCCAAAACAGCAAAAAAUAAAGGGUCCUGCUUACUUACUUUUUUAACCUGGUGCAAACUCUUAUUUAUCCCCAAAACAAAUCUGCUUUGCUUCCUUUACUUCCCCCUGGAGGCUGACGCCCAAGGCCAUGGAAUGAAAGGACUUCCAGUGGAAAGCCAUAGGUAAGUCAGCCUGCUAUUCAGUAUCUUUUCUUAUACAACAGUUACUUGUAAACUAAUCAAUAAACUUCUUAUUUUGUUUACUUCUUUAGAACUCUUAGCAGGUGCCCACUGAACCAUGAAGAAACUUAAAAUAGCCAUGAUCUCCCUUUAUGCUGCCACCUCUUCCCCGUAGCCCACUCAUGGUGUUUAGACUCAAGGCCACAUGAAGCUAAUCUGUAUGGAAAUAAAGGAUAGAAAUAUUCAGAUUGAGUUUUACUAAGUAAACCUGAGGUUUCUCUGUUCAGCAAAAUAGACCAGGUAAAUGAGUUUCUGAUACAGAAUAAAUCACUAGUUUGAAGACCUAUAUUUCCCUUUUGCCAUUUUGCUUAGAAGGGAAGAAUUUGCAACCUUCUGCAUGGAUGUGAAAAGCACCAGACCCUCCCCCCUGAGGUAGUUCCCUGAGUUGGACUCAUUUUCCUAUUAAGAUCUGAGAGUCUGCAUUUCAGCUGGGGGCUGGAGAUGCAGGGGUCUUCACAAGGGCCCAAGAAAGGGAGAGACAGGGAUGUGUUUAUAGAGCACCUCACAAGCCAGGUUUCAAGGCCUCACUCAAGGCAUAGGACCUAGUCUGUGGCUUUGGGAAACAGACCAGCAUCACAUAGCAUGGUGAAUACAAAGUCUGAGGCAUGUCCAGAUGUGCCUUGGGCAAGCGAGGAGGGAGCCAGGCAGCAACACAGAGUCAGGCCCAUCUUUCUGAAGCACUACUGCUGGAGCAGGCCUCUCACCCAUUUGGUCAUCUGAUCAACCAUAUCUGAUAAAUGCGGGUACCUUCUAGGAGCACAGCAGUGAGGAAGACAGCGCCCUUCUCUUGUGAAGCAUAUAGUUUUAGUGCAUCUUAAAACAUAGGCUGGGGGGCUGGGAAGAGGCAGGGGCAGGAGAGGGAAGGUGUUUCAAUGCACAGAAGGAACACACGUGUGGAAGCAGGAAGUAGCUCAGUGUUUUCUGAAGCUACACUAAGGUCCUUGAUGCACCAUGGAACCCUUGAGGCUGGAGUGGAGAGAAACGACUGUCGGGAGGUCCUGUGGCUGGUUUGCCCAGGAGACCAAGUGAAAAAACACUAGAAUAUUCUCUCUGUAAUGGUCAUCCCACAUCCUUCCAUCUUAGAGAUGGUUCUUUUUUCUCUAUGGCUCACAUGUGUCAGCGUGCCUGUGCUGUCAUCGAUAUUACAGGGAGGAGGUAAAGGAAGAAAGCCAUGGACAGGUGCUGAUUUGGACUUCAGAGAAGACCUUUGCCCUAGGCCCAGGUGGCUCAGGAUGGGCAGAGGUUGGGUAAGGAUAGUAGGUGAGGCCAUGAAUAGCCCUUGUUGAAGGGACAGAAUCCACCCCAGGGUGAGCACGGCUUCCUGUUUACUGAUGCCAUGUGGGGCCUUAGGAACUUUCCAAGCGUCGGCCAUUUUGUUCUGUGAAAACAUCGGUUUCAUAUACUUCACUUGACCUGUUCCCAGAGUAGUUAAGGGCUUUUUAUGUUUGUCAUCUUGCAAUGUCACAUAUCAUCUAGUUGAGGCAUAUACUGUUGGGGCUCUCAUUCAAUAGCUGAGGAAGUUGAAGCUCAGCAAGUUAACAUUAAUUGCCCAAAGCCAUUUAACCAGAGAAAUCAGGGCUCAGACUGAACUCUGUUCAGCAUCCAUGUCUGACUGUGGUGUUGAGGCUCAAGGGCCUCUGCUUUCCCUGGACAGGAGCCUGUGGGGCCAUUGGAAGCCCCAUGGCCCAUGUGGGCCCCAUCUCUCUACGCUUUGAAGCUCAUCCGACUGUGAGUGUUGAAGUUGCUUCAUGGGCUGGAACUUCAAGGAACUGGAGGACAAGGCCUAGGCCUUCUGUUGGAGACUUGGCUUCUGAUAAGGGAGAAGGCCAGGAUGAAUCCUGGGUCUGUUUUGAGUUGACUCAGUCUCUCCAGAGGUUUCUUGUGUUGACUGUCUCAGCACCUGUCUUCCCCACCUUGUCACACAUCCUACUCUGUCAGGAAAUAUUCCGUUACUGAAGUUAAUGUCAGGAUUAUAGAGUUGCCAUCCCCUUCUCAGAUCUCUCCCUCAGCCUUGUCUCUAGUCAGCAGGGGGAUCUCUGCUCAUCAGAGUCACACACGACCCCAGUUGAAGGAAGCUUCCUCUCACAUGUAUUUCUACAGUCACCUUGGCACAGAAGAAACAUGUCAAGCUAUGCACUUGUUCUUAAAUCUUCCUAAGAAAGGACACACAUCACUCAUGCUUACAUUUCACUGGCCAAAGAAAGUCACAUGGCCAUAGCUAUCUUUAGGUGAAUAUAAUCUUAUGAAGUGCCUGGAAGGCAGAAUACAGGAAAUGUUUAGGGAGAGCAUCACUAACUUCUGUAGCAGUUCAGAAUGGUAGGAAGAAUGUGAGCAUAUCCCUUGGCCAUUGGACAUGUGUCUGGUGGAGAGCUGAUUCAACAGAAUGUGAGGCUAAACCAAGCAAGCUCUAACACAGAAAUCAUGAGGGCUGGUCUGAGUGCAAUGCCACCACCGAUGGCUGCUGUAGGACCAGAGGUCAGAACUAAGUGAGCAAGAAGAUUUACUUGGUAGCACAUCUCCAUAUUUUCACUUUUUGCUUGGUCGUUCACCUCUAGUAGCUCUGACCGCAGGAAGUAGCCUCAUUUGACUGAUUCAUAAUUAACCUUAUAGUCUUCCUAUAAGAAAGACAACUAUAAUUUUAUGGGGAGUCAUGUCAGAAUACCAUUCUAGAAUCUCUCCCUGAAUCAGGCAAGCCAGAUUGACAUUCUGAAGUCUUGCUUUGGACAGUUCUUAGUCACGGGGAUGAAUUGCAUACUAUAAAAUAUUAUCACUUUAUUAAUGUAUUAAUGUCAAAUACAGUAAAUUUAUUUAUGCAUCUUUGUGUGAUAGAAAAACAUCAAUGAAUACUUUCAAAUUUUGAUGUGUCCGAUGUGAUUAGAACAAUGCUAGGAGACAAGAAAAGCAAGUUACUGACUUAGUCUGUAUUGUGAUGUGACAUAGUUCCACUUUGCCAUCGUUUAAACACCAUCUAGGCUCUGGAGGUAGCAGAG
rnacentral:lncRNA from 1 species